UCAGGGCUUAGACAACAGAAAUUUAUUUCUCACGGUUCUGGAGGCUGGCAAGUUCAAGCUCAAGGUGGAACAGGAUUUAGUUUCCGGAGAACAUGGCACUCAUCUAGGAACACCAGCUUUUGAAAAGAACGCUUAGGGAAUGUGGUGACCCUAACAUGCCAUUAGUCCGACCGCAGUGAGAUAUACAGGAAGGACUGCAAAUUGGAGUGCAAAGUCACCUUUUCAAAUGCAUGAGGUCACUUGGAGAUUUGAAGCUGGGGUUGGAAACCUCUCCUGGUAACUACAGAAGUGGAAUGGAGAGGGAGUUGGGAGGAAUCCCAAAACUAUGGAUCCUUCUCUGAGUCUCCUUCGUCUCAUUUCCACCAGCUUCUCAGAGCAACCUUGCUUCUUCACUAUUAUCAUUAUCAGGAUGGUCUCCCCACCACAUAACAAUUCCUCAAGCCAAGACCCCAUCUAUUCAGACUCGAGGUUGUUUUGAUGCCAGAUGAGAAACACAAAGUCAUGCUUCCUUUUCUUCCAGUAGAAAACUAGUGAGUAUCCAUGAAAGACAAAAACAGCUCUGUAGAAGGACAGCAAAAGAGCCAUACCCAAAUUUCGGGGGAGACUUUGACAUCACUGUCCUUGGCAACCAACUCUAGUUCUGAAUUCUGCAUACCUGCUUUCUUAAUCAGUAUAGGAGAGAGGAAGGCAGAGAACAUGGGGACUCACACUGUCUUCUGCCUGUAGCUCUAGGUAGAAUGGCUGCAUUCACCAGGACACCAGGAAGUUAACUCCCUCUGAUGUGUUAAAAGUCCACGUCUAAAAACAAAACGUCCCCCAACACACAUGUGGAUGGUGUGAUGGGCUGGAGACAUCCUCCAUACCUUGUUUUCAUACUGUGUGACCAGGCCAAGAGAGACCUCUCCAUUCCAGGAUGGACGAAUGAAUCUUUCCCUUCACGGGUCAAUUUCCCCUGCAAGAAAACAGACAAACUCUGGUAUUUUAAGCAGCUAUGCCUCAAGGCACCCUGAUUACAUACCUCAGAAAAAGCAAGACAUAGAAAUUCCAGUCCUUCUCCCGAACAGACCCAACUCCACACCACAUUAACAAGGCAUGGAUACCUACGGAAGAAUUUGUAGAUAUUCAGAGGAUUUGCAUUGCAAACCCCUAUUACAAAAUCCUUACAUUUUUUUUCUUUUUCCCUGAAUUCUUUCUUGGAGUCAGCAGCCUUGCUUUCCACCUAAAAGUCAGUGCAUCUGGGCUUUUCCGGCAAGGCUGGCUUCAGCCCUGUCUUUCCAGACCCUGCACACUAUCUCUUCCCUAAUAUAGAACAAAUUCCCAUUUGUAUCUUCACAUUCACUCCUUUGGUGAUCUAACAAGAUUCUCCUUGGAAUUUACUCCCAUGCUAGAGGCUGUUGGUGGUAUACAAUAUCUGCUUUCCCACUUUCCUACAAUAAGUGAGUUCAAGAGUUUUAUCUGGGCACAGAAUAGACUCCAUUCCCCAGUGUCCCCAUUACAGCAAGGUGUAGUUAUGUGAGAACAUGGCACCAAUGGCGUGUAAGUGAAGCAUGGACACAGCUUCUGAGACAUGUUCUUAAGAGCAAGAGGCACAGUCCUUUCCUGCCUUCAUCUCCUUUUUGCCUGGAAUGUGGUUAUUUUGGCUGGGAUUAGAAUAGCCAUCUUGCAUUAAGAGGUGGGAGUUUUGUGCUAAAGAUGGCAGGGCAACCAAAGAGAAAAAAACA